rnacentral:rRNA from 1 species
GCUUACGGCCAUACCACCUGGAACACGCCCGAUCUCGUCUGAUCUCGAGCUAAGCAGGGUCGGGCCUGGUUAGUACUGGAUGGGAGACCGCUGGAAACCAGGUGCAGUAAGCU